UUUCGUUGCAUGUUAAAUCGUGAAUUUAAGUCGGGCAACGUAGCAUUUUUCUCAUUAAAGAAUCCGCGCCUCAAGGCUAUCGCGUCCUAUGACCUCCACGGGUUUCAAUCAGAGUUGAUGUGCAACGUGUCACAAUCAGCUCUGUCCGUUCUCAGCAUAAAUAGCGCCCGUUGCAGGUCCGCUGUCCGACCCAUACUUCGCUUUUCUACGCUCAUUCCAUCAUUGCCCCGAGUGAGUCCUCCUCCGGCUCCGGUGAAGGUGGCGACCACGGUUUUGUUGUCACGGCUGCCUCAGAUUCGCUUGGUGCAGGUCGGGAACGCUUUGAUCCGGACGCGGACGAGCCAGAUCCCGCCUUGCACCAACUGAAUCGGAGGCGGACAGCGACCAUCUCGACCUCCCUUCCUUCCGCCCGUCCGCCCCAUUUCUUGGAUCCCAUCUAUCCAUGCUAUUAGAUUGGUGGUAGGUUUCGGUUGUCUGGCGGCAAUUGGUUGUUGAAGAUCUCUUCUGAUCGAGUGUUUCAAGCUUUUGCAAAACUCAAUCUUCUGCAGAAAUUUUGGGAUCCACUAUGGUUUUUCGUAAUCUGCAUCUAGUAUGCGUGGUAGAUCUGUCUCUGAGGUUCAUCCCGAUUCGCCAUUCAUGCUUGUGAAGCACUUGCAGUACGUGCAAUUGGAUGUUUUGCCUGCUCAGAUGUUUUUAUUUAUCUCUAUAAAAUUCAUCCUGAUUGUCAACCUGAUCGUGAGCUUAAGGCUAGUGAAAUCCCUGGAACUAUUAAUUGUUCUGUUCUUCUUCUUCCCUUAUCGUUUCUCUCCUAGUUCUAGACCAGUCCAUGAAAAGGGGAAAAGAACGCCAGCUUCUUAGCCUACUUACCCAUCUUCUUCUCAGUCACAAGACUCGAUCACGAACUUAAUCGUGAUUUUGCCUUAGGAUUUGGAUAUAUGAUCAGAAUCGUGCAAAUAUAUUCUUUAUCAAUACAAAUACCUCAAAAUUGGGGUGCGUAGCACAUUUCUAAGAGUAAUCCUUAGAAUAUGGUAUUGUUGAUGUUUUAUUUGCUAUGCCAUGUAGCUGCUUUAUUAAUGUUCGUUGGUUGCUCUU